AUCAAUUUCGAAUUUCGAAAAAUUCCCGUCCAUUCCAGUCGGUUUUCGUAUUCCCACCUGCGUGAGAGCGUGAGUGUGUGUAUGUGUGCAUUGGUAAUAGUUUGACAUUUGUCCCUGAAAUAUAAACAAAUCAGCAAUUUAUUUAGUGCAAAGUAAUGAAAGCGAGCGGUAGACUGCAUUUUUCUAAAUGCCAAAAUGUGUUUAACAUACGAUCAAAUUGAACAGGCAUGUGGAUUUUUGGUGCGUGGCGAAUUUAACACAUUUCUUUAUUGCUGCAAAGUUUGCCGUGUUGAAUUUGAAUCGGGCCCACACUUGGAAUCACACAUUUUAUCAGAGCAUGAUGAUGACAAAAGUGGCAUUUUGACGAAUGAUGGUUUUAUGGACGAAUCAAUAUCGACCGAUUCACCAAUUGAAAUCGAUCCGACAAACGUCAAAAUUGAACCGGAUGAUCCGAUUUAUUUGGUCGAAGACGAUUUUAAUGAUGAUUUUAAUGAUUCAGCAGCUGUUGAAGUGAUUGUUCCAAGAAAUUCGGCGGUUGUUCCAAAACGACCAGUCGGACGGCCACGGAAGAAUAAACAUUUGAUUGAUAUCCCGGUGGAAAGUAAAUAUGGUACACGAAAUGCUGGAGCAUUCAAAGAAGGUAUUUACAACUACGAUGCCAAUGACAGAGGCGAUAAAUUUGGUGGUUAUGCUAACGUCGGUAAAAGACGACCAGGACGACCACGUGGAGCAAAAGAUAAGAAAAAACGCAGAGGUAGAAGAAACCUGUUGGUUGAUGAUGAGAGCAAAUAUUUUGGUCGACCUUCAUCCAGUAAACAUGACAAUUUGAACAGCAAAACAGUCAAAGCAGAACGGCAAAGAGGUCAGCAAUUGAAAGCAAUGAACGAAGGAAUGAGCAGCGACGAUGAACCAACACAAGUGAACACCAAUGGACUUGAAAGUGUGUUACAGCAUCGUUUGUCGGGUAAUCGGAAGUGGCGACACGAUGCCAGCAAUGACGAAUUUGGCCAUGUCGACGUUGGAAACAGCGACAGAAAUUGUAAAUGGAAUAACAACCACAAUUACAUUGAUGACGACAGCGAUAUUUUUGAUGAUUUGGAUGGAGGUGAGCCGAGCCAACACCGAACUCAAAAUCCAGUCGGUAAACGUCGACCAGGACGGCCGCGUGGAGCGAAAGAUAAGAAAAAACGUGCCGCCAGAACAUUUGCAUCGGUCAGCGGAUCGAUUCUAAAGAAACCACGAGGUCGACCGUCAAUGAAACAAGAAUUGACACCGUACAAUGAUGGCCACAGCUAUGAGCCAAUCUCAACUGAAAAUCAUACUCACCGUCCAAAAGCCGAAAAAAGUGUUGCAACUCUCAGUCAAUCAGAUUUCAAUUUCAGCUAUGCUGAACCAUUCAACGCCGGUGAAGAUAUGCCAUUCGAUGUUAAGUCGGGAAUUCUCGUUGCUAAAAAACCACGAGGUAGACCGCGCAAACACCCAAAACCUGCCGUUGAUGUCACAAUUCCGAAACGACCACGAGGUCGACCACGGGGCUCAAAGACUCAAAAACACUAUCACAGUGAUAUCGUUGGUGUGGAUUUUGAAGAAUUGCCGCCACAAAGACUGCGAGAAAGGCCAUCGGGUCAACGAAAUUGGAUCGACGAUGACAGUGGAAGCGAUAGCAACAGCAAACGUGGUAACGAUGGUGGCGAAAACCAAAGCCAUGUCAAUAUUGGUGAAUCAAUUUUAUCCAAUGCUAUAUGUUCAAUUGGUCCGAAGCGACGCGGCAGACCGCCUGGCCUGAAGAAGAACAAAAUCAUCAAUCUUAGACCGAUCAAAAUCGAAUUAGAUGAUUCAGUUGCAUACGAGCCAAGCGAUCAACCACUCGAAAUAAGCAACUGGCCGACAGAGCACGAUAGUCAAGCGGCUUCUACGAGCAUUAGCAACUUCUGCAAACCAUUCGAAAUCCAACUUGAAGACAUCUACAGCUCAAACCAAGUGCAAAAUUGGCUCGAACCAACAUCCGGAUCUGAAUCGACUUCUAGACCGAGAGGACGUCCGCCUGGAUCUAAAAAUAAAUACCACUAAAAAUACUCUCGAACUAUUUGGUGAAAACCUGGUAGAUUUACCGAAAAAGAAAGGCUCCAAUGAAAGAAACCAGAAAAUGACUCACAAACACCUUUUCAUGCAUAAAUUAACAAAAAAAAAUUGGGAAUUUCAAUGGAAAUGAACAAAGAAACAUGAAAAUAUUCAUUAUAUGAAUAUUACAAGUAUUAAAACAUAUACAAGAACAGAGAAACCAUUUUAAACAUUGAAUAAAUCAUUAAAUUGUUGUUGGACUUUGAUAAUGAUUUGUGCCAAUUUUGUUGUGGUAGAUUGCAAUCGAACGUUUUGACAAGUCGAUUAUUUCGAUUUCGAAUCGACCAUUCCAUACGAAAUCGUCCAUAUUUCGAAAUUCCAGUGUUGAUGAAAGCGUUGCAUUGUUUGACAUUUGCUAAUCACUUGCAAUUGAAUUUGAACAGACGAAACACAGAACAACACAAAUCGAUGACAAGAGUAAUUAAAGUAAAAUACAUCAUAAUUUCUGUUUGCAAAUCGAUUUUUCCGAAAUUUCUGCCUAAAAACAGUUAAAUAUCAUCGGCAAGAUGUGUUUAAAACACGAUAAGUCUGAGCGAGCCUGUGGAUUUUUGCUGCUCAACGAGUCCAACACAUUCGUUUACUGCUGCAAAAAAUGUCCGAGUGAAUUUGAUUACAGCAUGGAAUUGGAGGUGCACAUUUUGUCGGAGCAUCCAAACCGUGAAAUCCACAUGGAAAAUGUAUUUGUAAGUGAUGGUAUUGCUGCGGAUGACGUUGGACUAACAGCAAUCGAAAUUUGGCCAUCAAUUAUAAAAGUGGAGCAGUGUGAUGAAAAUGGGGAAGAGUCACAUGACUUAGAUUCAACGAUGAUUGAUAUUGGACCAACAUUAGUUGGCCAAUGUGAAUCAAGUGUUGACGAAUCGGUUGAACUCAACCACGAAGAGGAAAAAGAGGAUCCAAAUCAAAAAAAGGAUUCAAAUCGUAAAGAGAAACAGGAAAACAACACUCGACCGCGCCGGUCGAAAAAAACAAGACUAAACAGCGAUAAAUCAUUAACACCGGAAAAGAAAGUAUCAUCUACUAACACACGACGCAGUGCGCUGAUGAAAUCGAAGAAAAAGGAAAUUGAGAGUGACCGUACCAGUCAAGUUCGAUCUGGUAAAGCUGUUCCAAAAAGCGUUCCAACGAAAAAUCGCAACCAUAGAGUCAAUGGCAAUGGGCAACGCAGAGCCAAUGAGAAUGAGCAAAGCAAAGCCAGUGGCAAUGGGCAACGCAGAGCUAAUGAGAAUGGGCAAAGCAAAGCCAGUGGCAAUGGGCAACGCAGAGCCAAUGAAAAUGGGCAAAGCAGAGCCAGUGGCAAUGGGCAACGCAGAGCUAAUGAGAAUGGGCAAAGCAAAGCCAGUGGCAAUGGGCAACGCAGAGCCAAUGAAAAUGGGCAAAGCAAAGCCAGUGGCAAUGGGCAACGCAGAGCCAAUGAAAAUGGGCAAAGCAGAGCCAGUGGCAAUGGACAACGCAGAACCAGUGGCAGUCGUUACCAAGGAAAACUCCGAGGUCAGAAUAUUGAAAACGAACCAUUGAAUAAAAACGUUGGCGAUGAAGAAGACGAACAGGAAGAAAAAGAAAAAGAGUUCAAAUGCUCACAGUGUAACCACAGCUACGCAGCAAAACGAAAUUUACGUAAACACGAACGAUUAAAGCAUGCUAGAGUAGUGAAUAAAUACACUUGCCCGUUGUGUGGUGUUGUAUGCUCGGAAUCAGGUUCACUUCGUCAACAUUUCAAACACACUCACGGAAAUGAUGUUACACAAGAUACCAAGAUAUGGGCCAAAUCUGUUCCGAACACGUUCAAAACGGUGGAGAAGCCAAAAGUGAAGCGUAAAAAAAUGAAAUGCACAUGUGGAGCCGUGUGCAGUGGGACAUUCAACUUUCAUCGACAUGUACGAGCUAUGCACGGUCACACCAAUUGGAAGAAAAAUUUGGUCGAAUAAUAUAAUGCAGCGGCUACAAGUGUUGUAUUGCUUGAACGAGGAAAUAAUACGAAUUUGCAUGUAGGCGAUUGAAAGCAGACAAUUCAUUUUUGGAUCAAUUAAUUUGAAUCAUUUAAUUAUUUAAGAAAAACCACAGUUUACUUUCGAUGUCUAAAAGAAAGAAAAUCAUUUUUUUUUUGGAAUAAAAAAAAAAACAAAAACAAAAAACAAAAAA